CGGCCGGUCCGCCUUUGGUGUGCAU
rnacentral:siRNA from 1 species